rnacentral:rRNA from 1 species
UAGGGAAUCUUCGGCAAUGGACGAAAGUCUGACCGAGCAACGCCGCGUGAGUGAAGAAGGUUUUCGGAUCGUAAAACUCUGUUGGUAGAGAAGAACGUUGGUGAGAGUGGAAAGCUCAUCAAGUGACGGUAACUACCCAGGAAGGGACGGCUAACUACGUGCCAA